CUUGAGACAGCUUCAAUUAAGAACAUGUGCUUGCUUUCCUGUGAUUAGCACUCUGUUUUAGUACUCCAACACUAUCCAGCACUUCAGUAAUUUUCCUAAAGAAGAGAGAAUUAUUUAAAUCUUCUGCUCCUAGCCAUGGUAAGUCAGUUUUCUGACUGCUUGGCGAGACGUUUUCUGGAAUUCAUGAGGUACUUGAAACACAACAUCUUCUUUAACGUAAAUGUAAUUACAAUAAAUUAUGUAGAUUAUUAGAAAGCAAUGGGAUGUGACUUCUCAGAUCUUCAACUGACAAUUCUUUGGAGGCUGAGGCCAGCAAAGCCAGCAAUGUGAAGAUAUUCUGCAGAAUAGGUAUGAAUCCCACACAGGGUAUUGUGGUUAGCCUUGUAAUCCUGAAGCAAAACUCCUGCGCUGUAGGUUAAUAUUCCCCAUGCUGCAGAAGAGCUGAGAGAAAGAAAGAGUGCCUUAUUUUUAAUUACUUUUCAAGUUUAUGCCAAAAGCUUUAGGUUACUGAAUGAUUCUCUCUCAACCCUCCUUAUAACUAUAUGCAUACUUAACUCAAAGGUAAAGGUAAAGGAAAAGGACCCCUGGACGGUUAAGUCCAGUCAAAGGUGACUAUGGGGUUGCGGCGCUCAUCUCACUUUCAGGCUGAGGGGUUUGUCCACAAGCAGCUUUCUGGGUCAUGUGGCCAGCAUGACUAAACCGCUUCUGGCACAAUGGAACACUGUGAUGGAAACCAGAGUGCAUGGAAACACAGUUUACCUUCCCACCACAGCAGUAUCUAUUUACCUAGCAGUUCGAAAGCACCCUUAAGUGCAAGUAGAUAAAUAGGUACCGCUUUACAGCGGGAAGAUAAACGGCGUUUCCGUGUGCUGCUCUGGUAACGGUUCACCGGAGCAGCUUCAUCACGCUGGCCACGUGACCCGGAAGUGUCUGCGGACAGUGCUGGCUCCCGGCCUCUUAAGUGAGAUGAGUGCACAACCCUAGAGUCGGACACGACUAGCCCGUACGGGCAGGGGUACCUUUACUGGUAUGCUUUCAAUCUGCUAGGCUGGCAGGAGCUGGGACAGAGCAACAGGAGCUCACCCCGAACUGCUGACCUUCUGAUCGGCAAGCCCAAGAGGCUCAGUAGUUUAAACCACAGCACCACCUGUGUCCUCAAACGUUACUCAAAUGUAAGCCGUAUGUGAGCACUGGGGUUAGGAAAGAGUAGCUCUCCAUAAUAUUGCAGUGGUAGUUCCUGCCAUUGGCAUGUCAGUUGAAAGUCUUGCUUUAAGGUAAUGUAUAUAAGGGACUCUGAACAACUGCAUGAAUCUUAUACAAGGAUUUCUCUUCCUAAAUUCACACAGUGCUUAUCUCCAUCCUAAUAUCAGCCAAAAUGGGGAAGAAAAAGAAGGAAGGGGGGGAUACUAGGAAUGAAACAGCAACACACCAGAAUUAUUUUUCUAUUCUUAAAUGGUAUAUCUGCUCUUAAAAUAAUAAAGACAAUUUUAGGGGUAAGAACCUUGUUGAUCUGAUAACCUAUCUGAUCUGAUAACCUACUCCAUAGAGUAUCCUGGUGACUCAUUUGGAAAGAAACUCCACUCUGCACAUGUUCAGACAGCUGAAAGAUCCUUUCUGCAUGCCAUAAACAGACAUUCCUGUUAAGAGUUGUUCAGUGGAAUCCUGAUCUGGACCUUGUGUAGAAACAAAUUAUCUCCA